rnacentral:misc_RNA from 1 species
UUGAAUUUUGAAAAACAGGUUGUAGCUGAUCAUAAUAGAUAUGUGCACGCCUUGUUUCCAAAUAUCACACCAUGUGCACCUUUUGUAGGCCAAGAAAUUGGUCUAUGUAUUUUUAAUACACUCCAAAAGUAUAGAAUGUUAUUAUCAAUAAGCUUUGCUUAAAUUUAUAUA